rnacentral:rRNA from 1 species
AGGAUGAACGCUGGCGGCGUGCUUAACACAUGCAAGUCGAACGGUGAAGCAGGAGCGUGCUCCUGUGGAUCAGUGGCGAACGGGUGAGUAACACGUGAGAAAUCUGCCCUGGACUCUGGGAUAAGCGUUGGAAACGACGUCUAAUACCGGAUACGAGACGUGAAGCAUCUUCAACGUCUGGAAAGACUUCGGUCCAAGGAUGAUCUCGCGGCCUAUCAGCUAGUUGGUGAGGUAACGGCCACCAAGGCGACGACGGGUAGCCGGCCUGAGAGGGUGACCGGCCACGACUGGGACUGAGACACGGCCAGACUCCACGGAGCAGCAGUGGGAAUAGUUGCACAAUGGGACGCAAGCCUAGAUGCGAGCGAACGCCGCGUGA